GACGAACGCUGGCGGCGUGCUUAACACAUGCAAGUCGAACGGAAAGGCUCUGCUUUUGUGGGGUGCUCGAGUGGCGAAAGGGUGUGUAACACGUGUGUAACCUGCCCUUGACUGUGGGAUAACUUCAGGAAACUGGGGCUAAUACCGGAUAUGAGCUUCUGCUGCAUGUUGUGGGUUGUAAAGUGUCGGCGGUUGGGGACGGACUCGCGGCCUAUCAGCUUGUUGGUGGGGUAGUGGCUUACCAAGGCGUUGACGGGUAGCCGGCCUGGGAGGGUGACAGGCCACAUUGGGACUGAGGUAGGGCCCGGAGUCCUACGGGAGGCAGCGGUGGAGAAUAUUGCACAAUGGGCGGAAGCCGGAUGCAGCAACGCCGCGUGCGGGAUGACGGCCUUCGGGUUGUAAACCGCUUUCGCCUGUGACGAACCGUGAGUGACGGUAAUGGAUAAAGAAGCACCGGCUAACUACGUG
rnacentral:rRNA from 1 species